rnacentral:rRNA from 1 species
UACGUAGGGUGCAAGCGUUGUCCGGAAUCAUUGGGCGUAAAGAGCUCGUAGGCGGUCUGUUGCGUCGGCUGUGAAAACCCGGGGCUCAACUCCGGGCCUGCAGCCGAUACGGGCAGACUAGAGUUCGGCAGGGGAGACUGGAAUUCCUGGUGUAGCGGUGAAAUGCGCAGAUAUCCGAAGGAACACCGGUGGCGAAGGCGGGUCUCUGGGCCGAUACUGACGCUGAGGAGCGAAAGCGUGGGGAGCGAACAGG